GCCUCCCUAGCUCAACGGCAGAGCGGCGGUUUUGUAAACCGUUGAUAACAGUUCAAUUCUGUUGGGAGGCU
rnacentral:tRNA from 1 species